AGAGUUUGAUCCUGGCUCAGAACGAACGCUGGUGGCGUGUCUUAUACAUGCAAGUCGAGCGAGGUAGCAAUACCUAGCGGCGAACGGGUGAGUAACGCGUAAGCAAUCUGCCCCACAUCAGGAAAUACCCGUGCCAACGCGCGGUUAAUGUCCAGGAGGGCGGCCUCCCGCAUGGGAGGUUGGCCAGAGAUUUAUCGGUGUGGGAUGAGCUUGCGUCCGAUUAGCUAGUUGGUGUGAUAACGGCAUACCAAGGCGAUGAUGGGUAUCCGGCCUGAGAGGGUGAACGGACACAUUGGGACUGAGAUACGGCCCAGACUCCUACGGGAGGCAGCAGCUAAGAAUAUUCCGCAAUGGACGAAAGUCUGACGGAGCGACGCCGCGUGGAUGAAGAAGGCCGGAAGGUUGUAAAAUCCUUUUAAACAGGAAGAAUAAGUACUGAAGGGAAUGUCAGUAUGGUGACGGUACUGUUUGAAUAAGCAACGGCUAAUUACGUGCCAGCAGCCGCGGUAACACGUAAGUUGCGAGCGUUGUUCGGAAUUAUUGGGCGUAAAGGGUAUGUAGGCGGUUCUGAAAGCUUGGUGUGAAAGGCAGAGGCUUAACCUCUGGACUGCAUUGAGAACUGCAGGACUAGAAUUACUGAAGGGCAGCUAGAAUUCCAUGUGUAGGGGUGAAAUCUGUAGAUAUGUGGAAGAAUACCAAUGGCGAAGGCAAGCUGCUGGCAGAUGAUUGACGCUGAGGUACGAAAGUGCGGGGAGCAAACAGGAUUAGAUACCCUGGUAGUCCGCACAGUAAACGAUGUGCACUAGGUGUUUGGGGCAAGAGCUUCAGUGCCAAAGCAAACGUGAUAAG
rnacentral:rRNA from 1 species